rnacentral:misc_RNA from 2 species
AACCGCCGUGGUACGGAUCCGUAUGCCCGGUGGUGUGAGAGGACGGGGGAGGCGACUCCCCCUCCUACUCGAU